CACACACACACACAGUCAGACACACACACACACACACACAGUCAGACACAAACACACACACAAACACACACAGUCACAUACAUACACACACACACAGUCAGACACACACACACAUACACAGUCAGACACACACACACACAUACACACACAGUCAGACACACACACACACACACACACACACACACACACACACACACAUACACACACAGUCAGACACAAACACACACACAAACACACACAGUCACAUACACACACAGUCAGACACAUACACAGACACAAACACAGUCACACACACACUCACAAACACAC